rnacentral:rRNA from 1 species
AGCCGUUCAAGACUAGGACGUUGAUAGGCAGGGUGUGUAAGUGCUGUAAGGCAUUGAGCUAACCUGUACUAAUUGCUCGAUCGGCUUGACCGUAUUACAUCAA